GACGAACGCUGGCGGCAGGCCUAACACAUGCAAGUCGAACGAAGUCUUCGGACUUAGUGGCGGACGGGUGAGUAACACGUGGGAACGUGCCUUUAGGUUCGGAAUAACUCAGGGAAACUUGUGCUAAUACCGAAUGUGCCCUUCGGGGGAAAGAUUUAUCGCCUUUAGAGCGGCCCGCGUCUGAUUAGCUCGUUGGUGAGGUAAAGGCUCACCAAGGCUACGAUCAGUAGCUGGUCUGAGAGGAUGACCAGCCACAUUGGGACUGAGACACGGCCCAAACUCCUACGGGAGGCAGCAGUGGGGAAUCUUGCGCAAUGGGCUAAAGCCUGACGCAGCCAUGCCGCGUGGAUGAUGAAGGUCUUAGGAUUGUAAAAUCCUUUCACCGGUGAAGAUAAUGACUGUAGCCGGAGAAGAAGCCCCGGCUAACUUCGUGCCAGCCGCCGCCGUAAGAC
rnacentral:rRNA from 1 species